UACGAAGGGGGCUAGCGUUGCUCGGAAUCACUGGGCGUAAAGGGUGCGUAGGCGGGUCUUUAAGUCAGGGGUGAAAUCCUGGAGCUCAACUCCAGAACUGCCUUUGAUACUGAAGAUCUUGAGUUCGGGAGAGGUGAGGUGGAACUGCGAGUGUAGAGGUGAAAGUUCGUAGAUAUUCGCAAGAACACCAGUGGCGAAGGCGGCUCACUGGCCCGAUACUGACGCUGAGGCACGAAAGCGUGGGGAGCAAAC
rnacentral:rRNA from 1 species